UACGUAGGGGGCAAGCGUUGUCCGGAUUUAUUGGGCGUAAAGAGCGUGUAGGCGGCCUGGAAGGUCAGCUGUGAAAACUCGAGGCUCAACCUCGAGCUGUCGGUUGAAACCACCUGGCUAGAGUCCGGAAGAGGAGAGUGGAAUUCCCGGUGUAGCGGUGAAAUGCGCAGAUAUCGGGAAGAACACCCGUGGCGAAGGCGGCACUCUGGGACGGUACUGACGCUGAGACGCGAAAGCGUGGGGAGCGAACAGG
rnacentral:rRNA from 1 species